rnacentral:rRNA from 1 species
AGAGUUUGAUCCUGGCUCAGAGCGAACGCUGGCGGCGUGCUUAACACAUGCAAGUCGAGUGCGCGCCUGUAGCAAUACAGGUGGCGCACGGCGCACGGGUGCGUAACACGUGGGUAAUCUGCCCUUCGAAGGGGAAUAACUCGCCGAAAGGCGAGCUAAUUCCGCAUAACAUUCCAAGAGCUUCGGUUUUUGGACUCAAAGGCGUAAGUCGUCGGAGGAGGAGCCCGCGCACGAUUAGCUAGUUGGUAGGGUAACGGCCUACCAAGGCUAUGAUCGUUAGCUGGUCUGAGAGGAUGGCCAGCCACACUGGAACUGAGACACGGUCCAGACUCCUACGGGAGGCAGCAGUGGGGAAUCUUGCACAAUGGGCGAAAGCCUGAUGCAGCGACGCCGCGUGGGGGAUGAAGCUUCUCGGAGUGUAAACCCCUUUCGACCCGGACGAAUGCCCCGCAAGGGGACUGACGGUACGGGUAUAAGAAGCCCCGGCUAACCACGUGCCAGCAGCCGCGGUAAGACGUAGGGGGCCAGCGUUGCUCGGAAUUACUGGGUGUAAAGGGUUCGUAGGCGGUGUGGCAAGUCGGGAGUGAAAUCUCUGGGCUCAACCCAGAGUCUGCUUCCGAAACUGCUGUGCUUGAGUGUGGGAGAGGCGCGUGGAAUUGCAGGUGUAGCGGUGAAAUGCGUAGAUAUCUGCAGGAACACCCGUGGCGAAAGCGGCGCGCUGGACCACUACUGACGCUGAGGAACGAAAGCUAGGGGAGCAAACAGGAUUAGAUACCCUAGUAGUCC